rnacentral:rRNA from 1 species
GCAAGGAAUUUUGCGCAAUGGGCGAAAGCCUGACGCAGCGACGCCGCGUGGGGGAUGAAGGCCUUCGGGUCGUAAACCCCUUUUCUCGGGGAAGAAUAAUGACGGUACUCGGGGAAUAAGUCUUGGCUAACUACGUGCCAGCAGCCGCGGUAAGACGUAGAAGGCAAACGUUAUUCGGAUUUACUGGGCGUAAAGCGGGUGCAGACGGCUCCCUAAGUCGGGCGUGAAAUCUCCUGACUCAAUCAGGAGGGGACGUUCGAUACUAAGGAGCUUGAGGACAGCAGAGGAAGGCGGAAUUCCCGGUGUAGCGGUGAUAUGCGUAGAUAUCGGGAGGAACACCAGUGGCGUAGGCGGCCUUCUAGGCUGAACCUGACGUUGAGACCCUAAAGCGUGGGGAGCGAAACGGAUUAGAUACCCUAGUAGUCC